rnacentral:pre_miRNA from 1 species
AGCUUUCUAAUUGCCUGCAGAGAUCUCAUCAGGCACCAACAUAUUAGGGCUGAUAAGACUUCCAACAUAAGUGAAGUU